AUCAGAUGAACCAGUAUGGGGCUGCUAGCCUUACUUGAGAGAGGCGGCAGACGGAAGAGGCUGCACGGCUGCCUCUGGGAAUUGCCUGGGCUCCAGGGAGGGAGGGUGGAGCUGCGUCCUCCAAACCAGCAGAGUAAUCGGCAGACAAUGAGCCACUUGUGGGUGGGGGGGUGGCAGAGGCUGGAGUCUGGGAGUCGGAGCAUCAAAGGGGCAGACAAGCUCGCCCGGGCAUAUGCAAAAAACUGCCCCUUCCCAGGCAGGACUUGGGCUUAAGAAGGAGCCAGAAACCAGAGGCAGCCAUGUGGCCACAAAAAAAAAAAAAGCAGCAUUUGUUUCCUAUGGAGGUGAGCAUACGGAUAUUCAGACAGUGAGAGGCCUGGAUACUCACUCCCGCUUACUCUAUCCACACAAGACCCUCUGAAGUGGCAGCAGAAGCUUGGUGGUCCCCUUUCCCAGCAGGGAAGCCUGGUACGGGCCUUGCCUGAGGCUGCACAGGGCCUGGGAGACGGUAGAUGCUCAAAGGAUGCUGAAAUGAGUGAGAGAUGCGCUAUCCCGGGGCAAGCUGGGGGCUCUACAGAGAGAGCGUGAACCCCGAGGGCCACGACGGGAUUCGAGGGGUUCACCUCUGCAACCCUGGCACCCAGCACAGGCUAUGCAGCCAACACACAACUAACAGAUGGAAUUACAGCUACAUGACCCAAUGUGCAGAAGACAGGAGAGAUGGACAGACACCGGGCACGCUGCAUCUGAGACCCAGUCGAUCAGGGUAAUACCCUGGGCACCCUGUGGCUUUUAAACCUGCCAGCAGCUCCCCACUCCUCAGGGGUGGGGACCCGGCCCCGAGACCAUCAGCCCUGAAUGGAAUCCUAUCCCCAUGUGUCCAGGCUGGGGCUGUCAUCAAAUAAAAUCUACAACCAAGUCAA